rnacentral:tRNA from 1 species
GGUACUACGCCGGAGUUGAACGGAUUACAUUGAUGCUGUAAAAUAUAAGAAUGUGUGUCUUUAGUGCCU